UACGGGGGGGGCAAGCGUUGUUCGGAAUUACUGGGCGUAAAGGGCUCGUAGGUGGCCAACUAAGUCAGACGUGAAAUCCCUCGGCUUAACCGGGGAACUGCGUCUGAUACUGGAUGGCUUGAGUUCGGGAGAGGGAUGCGGAAUUCCAGGUGUAGCGGUGAAAUGCGUAGAUAUCUGGAGGAACACCAGUGGCGAAAGCGGCUUUCUGGUCCUUAACUGACGCUGAGGCGCGAAAGCAUGGGGAGCGAACGGG
rnacentral:rRNA from 1 species